rnacentral:rRNA from 1 species
GACGAACGCUGGCGGCGUGCCUAAUACAUGCAAGUCGAGCGGACAGAAGUGAACUUGCUCCCGGAAGUUAGCGGCGGACGGGUGAGUAACACGUGGGCAACCUACCCUGUAGAUCGGGAUAACAUCGAGAAAUCGGUGCUAAUACCGGAUAAUCAUAUGAAGUGCAUGCUUCGAAUGUAAAAGAUGGCUCCGGCUAUCACUACGGGAUGGGCCCGCGGCGCAUUAGCUAGUUGGUAAGGUAAUGGCUUACCAAGGCAACGAUGCGUAGCCGACCUGGGAGGGUUAUCGGCCACACUGGGACUGAGACACGGCCCAGACUCCUACGGGAGGCAGCAGUAGGGAAUCUUCCGCAAUGGACGAAAGUCUGACGGAGCAACGCCGCGUGAGUGAUGAAGGUUUUCGGGUUGUAAACCCCUGUCAGAGGGAAAGAAGGGUCAUGUGGCUAAUAUCCACGUGAUCUGACGGUACCUUCAGAGGAAGCCCCGGCCAACUCUGUGCCAGCCGCCGCCGUAAAAC